rnacentral:lncRNA from 1 species
GGCUGUUGUGACCACCACUGUGCUCAUGGAAGGAAGAGCCACAGAAGAUCCAGAGCUUAAGGGAUGCAAAGCCCUGGCCCUGUAGUCAAGAAGGGACAAGGUAGAGGAGAGGAAAUGUCCCAACAUGAAAAAUGGUGGACUUGGAAUGUGACUUCACAGCUCAUGUACUCACCAGUGUUUCCCCUGGACUGUGAGGCCAAAGUUCACAUUGAAUUUAAUCAAGACUGCAGUGAGAACAGGAAUAAGCAAACUGCAAGAUAUGUGUGUGACAACUAAUGAAUGUAUCUCAGCAAAACUCCACUGCCUGGAGAGGAGGAACGUCAACAGAGACCAAUGGCUUCAUCUCCUCAGUCUAUCCAGAUGUUUGUUCUCUUCCAUGGCAAUUGAGUGGCUGCACCCCCCAGGCCCCCUUGCUGUUAAUG